UUAUUGAAUGAAGAGCAGCAAUGUUUUGGCUCCUAAAAGAGCUCUGUUUGGAGCCAAAAUGUUGCUGCUCUUCAUCCAAUAAACCUGCGUGC